rnacentral:rRNA from 1 species
UACAGAGGGGGCAAGCGUUGUUCGGAAUUACUGGGCGUAAAGGGCGCGUAGGCGGCCUGUUAAGUCGAACGUGAAAUCCCCGGGCUCAACCCGGGAACUGCGUCCGAUACUGGCAGGCUUGAAUCCGGGAGAGGGAUGUGGAAUUCCAGGUGUAGCGGUGAAAUGCGUAGAGAUCGGGAGGAACACCAGUGGCGAAGGCGGCCGGCUGGGGGUGCCCUGACGCUGAGGCGCGAAAGCGUGGGGAGCGAACCGG